rnacentral:snRNA from 1 species
UUUUUUCUGGAGUAGAUAUACUAAAUUGGAAUGACACCAAGAAGGUUAUAAUGGCCUCUUCACAAGGAUGGCACACCUAUUAUGAAGCAUUCCAUAAUUUU